AUUGAACGCUGGCGGCAUGCCUUACACAUGCAAGUCGAACGGCAGCACGGGGGCAACCCUGGUGGCGAGUGGCGAACGGGUGAGUAAUACAUCGGAACGUGCCCCGUAGCGGGGGACAACCAGUCGAAAGACUGGCUAAUACCGCAUACGCUCCACGGAGGAAAGCAGGGGAUCGCAAGACCUUGCACUAUGGGAGCGGCCGAUGCCCGAUUAGCUAGUUGGUGAGGUAAAGGCUCACCAAGGCAACGAUCGGUAGCUGGUCUGAGAGGACGACCAGCCACACUGGGACUGAGACACGGCCCAGACUCCUACGGGAGGCAGCAGUGGGGAAUUUUGGACAAUGGGCGCAAGCCUGAUCAGCCAUGCCGCGUGCGGGAAGAAGGCC
rnacentral:rRNA from 1 species